UACAGAGGGUGCUAGCGUUGUUCUGAAUCAUUGGGCGUAAAGGGCGUGUAGGCGGUUUGUUAAGUCAUGUGUGAAAUCCCUCGGCUCAACCGGGGAACGACGCAUGAAACUGGUAAGCUAGAGUACCAAAGAGGGGGGUGGAAUUCCAGGUGUAGCAGUGAAAUGCGUAGAGAUCUGGAGGAACACCGAUGGCGAAGGCAGCCCCCUGGGUUAGCACUGACGCUCAUACACGAAAGCGUGGGGAGCAAACAGG
rnacentral:rRNA from 1 species